rnacentral:tRNA from 2 species
CAAAGAAUAGUUUAUUAAAAUAAUAAUUUUGGAGAUUAUAGAUAAAGAAAUUCUUUUUCUUUGA